CGUGUAGGCGGUUUAGUAAGUCGGUCGUGAAAGCCCUCGGCUCAACCGAGGAACUGCGAUCGAAACUAUUAGACUAGAGUAUCGGGAGGGGGUGGCGGAAUUCCCGGUGUAGAGGUGAAAUUCGUAGAUAUCGGGAGGAACACCUGUGGCGAAGGCGGCCACCUGGAAGAUUACUGACGCUGAGACGCGAAAGCGUGGGGAGCAAACA
rnacentral:rRNA from 1 species